UCACAUGCAUGACCAGCACCUGCCAACAUCUGAAUAUUUUGGGAAACCGGAGGCUUCAGUUAUUACUCAGCCAUAUUAACUGGAGUGCAGCAGUGAGGCAGGCCUGGUGCAGAAUCGUCUCCGUACUGCGGAUGAAGGCCAGAAGGACAAACUGUGUGAGAGGAGAGCAAGAGGACGAGGGAGGCACGAACACUGGCAC